CAAUUAAACCAACCACAUCUGCAUAUGACCAUGACCAUGUUACCACAUUCAUUUACUAUGAUUGCAACAAUAAUUAUUGCUCUUGCACAAACACUUGUAGGGGUGAGUUCACUUCCUGAAGCUGAUAAAAUAAGCAAUUUGCCGGGGCAGCCAAAGGUCAAAUUUCAGCAAUAUUCAGGUUACAUUACUGUGGAUGACCAACAUCAGAGAGCUUUGUUUUAUUACUUUGUUCAAGCAGAAAAACACCCUACUUCCAAGCCAUUAGUCCUUUGGUUGAACGGAGGUCCUGGUUGUUCAUCCAUUGGCGUUGGAGCUUUAGUUGAACAUGGCCCUUUCAAACCGGGUGACAAUAAUGUUCUUGUGAAAAAUCAUUAUAGUUGGAACAAAGUGGCAAAUGUGCUAUACUUGGAAUCACCGGCUGGUGUUGGAUUCUCCUACUCUAGCAAUACAUCUUUCUAUACCUUAGUGACAGAUGAAAUUACAGCUAGGGAUAAUCUUGUUUUCCUGCAGCGCUGGUUCACCGAAUUCCCUGAGUACUCAAAUAACGACUUCUUCAUUACAGGGGAGAGCUACGCAGGUCACUAUGUUCCACAACUUGCACAACUUAUUGUUCAAUCCAAGGCCAACUUCAAUCUCAAAGGGAUAGCAAUAGGGAAUCCUCUUAUGGAAUUUGAUACUGACUUGAACUCCAAAGCUGAAUUCUUUUGGUCACACGGACUUAUUUCAGAUUCAACUUAUGAUCUCUUUACCAGAGUUUGCAACUACUCUACAAUUAGGAGACAAAUGAUACAUGGGAAUGUUAGUGACAUUUGUGCAAAUAUAACUAAACUGGUUUUUACUGAGGUUAGCGACUAUGUAGACCAAUAUGAUGUCACUCUAGAUGUGUGUUUGUCGUCGGCAAAUCAACAGUCCUAUGUGCUGAAUCAAAUGCAAGAGACACGUAAGAUAGAUGUUUGUGUGGACGACAAAGCAAUCACAUACUUAAACAGAAAAGAUGUGCAGCAAGCUCUCCAUGCCAAGCUUGUUGGAGUCUCCAACUGGUCAACUUGCAGCAGGGUUCUCCAUUAUGACCGUCGGAAUCUAGAGUGGAGAUCAAGAUUCAGUUAUUCCAUUGCUGGGAACGCGAUCUUUGGUGAAUGGAUUAGCUAAGGAACUUGGACUGAAUACAACAGUGGCCUAUAGAGCCUGGUUUGAAGGAAAACAGGUAGCAGGAUGGACACAAGUAUAUGGGGAUAUCUUAUCAUAUGCCACCAUUAGAGGAGCAUCUCAUGAAGCUCCCUUUACUCAACCACAGAGAUCACUCGGGCUACUUAAAGCCUUUUUGGAAGGAAAGCCAUUACCAAGUAUUGUAUAAAAUAAGAACAGCUUUAAUUACAAAUUCCUUUUACCGCAAUAAGUAUAAAUCCUAAUAGAGUUCUCACGAAAUUGGUUACUGCUAUUGGAUCGCCUUUUAAUUGUUUUUUUAGUGCUUUUUAUCUUUCUGUAUUUUGUUUUCUUUCCCAUGAGUUACAAGAGCACAAAUUGAAAGUAAGCAUAAGCAAUAGCCAUGUAUAAUCCAUUGAAACGAAUGAACUCAACAGAUUGUAAUCUAUAAACUGAUUGGGGAUAUUUUUA